AUAGAUCCUGAAACCGUAUGCUUACAAAAAGUAGGAGCCUCGUAAGGGGUGACUGCGUACCUUUUGUAUAAUGGGUCAGCGACUUACAUUCAGUGGCAAGGUUAACCGAAUAGGGAAGCCGUAGAGAAAUCGAGUCCGAAUAGGGCGAAUUAGUCGCUGGGUGUAGACCCGAAACCAAGUGAUCUAUCCAUGGGCAGGAUGAAGGUGCCGUAACAGGUACUGGAGGUCCGAACCGACUAAUGUUGCAAAAUUAGCGGAUGACCUGUGGAUAGGGGUGAAAGGCUAAACAAACUUGGAAAUAGCUGGUUCUCUCCGAAAACUAUUUAGGUAGUGCCUCAAGUAUUACCUGCGGGGGUAGAGCACUGUUUUGGCUAGGGGGUCAUGGCGACUUACCAAACCAAUGCAAACUCCGAAUACCGCAGAGUACAGCUUGGGAGACAGAGCACCGGGUGCUAACGUCCGGACUCAAGAGGGAAACAACCCAGACCGCCAGCUAAGGUCCCUAAAAUUGGCUAAGUGGGAAACGAAGUGGGAAGGCUAAAACAGUCAGGAUGUUGGCUUAGAAGCAGCCAUCAUUUAAAGAAAGCGUAAUAGCUCACUGAUCGAGUCGUCCUGCGCGGAAGAUGUAACGGGGCUAAGCCAGUUACCGAAGCUGCGGAUUUGCAAUUUAUUGCAAGUGGUAGGAGAGCGUUCUGUAAGCCUGUGAAGGUGCGUUGUAAAGCGUGCUGGAGGUAUCAGAAGUGCGAAUGCUGACAUGAGUAGCGUUAAAGGGGGUGAAAAGCCCCCUCGCCGUAAGCGCAAGGUUUUCUACGCAACGUUCAUCGGCGUAGAGUGAGUCGGCCCCUAAGGCGAGGCAGAGAUGCGUAGUUGAUGGGAAACAGGUAAAUAUUCCUGUACCGAUGUGUAGUGCGAUGUGGGGACGGAGAAGGUUAGCUCAGCAGACUGUUGGAUAUGUCUGUUCAAGCCUGUAGUCGUGCCUGGUAGGUAAAUCCGCCGGGCUUAGAUGAGGGGUGAUAACGAGGAUGCUUGCAUCCGAAGUGAGUGAUACCCUGCUUCCAGGAAAAGCCACUAAGCUUCAGCUACACACGACCGUACCGCAAACCGACACUGGUGCGCGAGAUGAGUAUUCUAAGGCGCUUGAGAGAACUCAGGAGAAGGAACUCGGCAAAUUGACACCGUAACUUCGGAAGAAGGUGUGCCUUUAGUAUGUGAACCUGUACAAGGGGAGCAGAAUGAGGCCUCAGAGAAUCGGUGGCUGCGACUGUUUAAUAAAAACACAGCACUCUGCAAACACGAAAGUGGACGUAUAGGGUGUGACGCCUGCCCGGUGCUGGAAGAUUAAAUGAUGGGGUGCAAGCUCUUGAUUGAAGUCCCAGUAAACGGCGGCCGUAACUAUAACGGUCCUAAGGUAGCGAAAUUCCUUGUCGGGUAAGUUCCGACCUGCACGAAUGGCGUAACGAUGGCCACACUGUCUCCUCCUGAGACUCAGCGAAGUUGAAAUGUUUGUGAUGAUGCAAUCUCCCCGCGGAAAGACGGAAAGACCCCAUGAACCUUUACUGUAGCUUUGUAUUGGAUUUUGAACGGAUCUGUGUAGGAUAGGUGGGAGGCUUUGAAGCCGGGACGCUAGUCUCGGUGGAGCCAACGUUGAAAUACCACCCUGGUGCGUUUGAGGUUCUAACCUAGGUCCAUUAUCUGGAUCGGGGACAGUGCAUGGUAGGCAGUUUGACUGGGGCGGUCUCCUCCCAAAGCGUAACGGAGGAGUUCGAAGGUACGCUAGUUACGGUCGGACAUCGUGAUGAUAGUGCAAUGGCAUAAGCGUGCUUAACUGCGAGACUGACAAGUCGAGCAGAUACGAAAGUAGGACAUAGUGAUCCGGUGGUUCUGUAUGGAAGGGCCAUCGCUCAACGGAUAAAAGGUACUCUGGGGAUAACAGGCUGAUACCGCCCAAGAGUUCAUAUCGACGGCGGUGUUUGGCACCUCGAUGUCGGCUCAUCUCAUCCUGGGGCUGUAGCCGGUCCCAAGGGUAUGGCUGUUCGCCAUUUAAAGAGGUACGUGAGCUGGGUUUAAAACGUCGUGAGACAGUUUGGUCCCUAUCUUCCGUGGGCGCUG
rnacentral:rRNA from 3 species